rnacentral:rRNA from 1 species
UAUGUGAUCGUCUCUCGCAUAUCAAUAAGCGGAGGAAAAGAAACUAACAAGGAUUCCCCUAGUAACGGCGAGUGAAGCGGGAAGAGCUCAAAUUUGAAAUCUUAAAGGGUUUCCCUUUACGAAUUGUAGUUUAAAGAAGUGUUUUCUGUUGAGGUUUUGGUAAAAGUUCUUUGGAAUAGGACAUCAUAGAGGGUGAGAAUCCCGUAUUUGACCUUUACUUUCAACUUUGUGAUACACUUUCAAAGAGUCGGAUUGUUUGGGAAUGCAGUCCAAAAUGGGUGGUAAAUUUCAUCUAAAGCUAAAUAUUGGCGAGAGACCGAUAGCGAACAAGUACCGUGAGGGAAAGAUGAAAAGAACUUUGAAAAGAGAGUUAAACAGUACGUGAAAUUGUCAAAAGGGAAGCGUUUGACACCAGUGUUGUUUUUCUGAAAAUCAAUUAAAGAACUGUUUAUGCUAAGCUGUUUAGACUUUAUCAGCUAAUCUGUUUAGUUUUGAGCUUUUCUUUAAUGCACUUUUCAGUUAACAAGUCAACAUCAAUUUCUUUUGCUGUAAAAAAGCUUGAGGAAGGUGGCUUGAGAUUCGUCUUAAGUGUUUAUAGCCUCUUGCCUAUGCAGUCGGAGAGAUUGAGGUCUGCAGCGUAGAUCCUUCGGGGCUAAAUGCAUUUGUGCUAAGUUAUAGCAUUUUAUAGACAACUUGUUGACUAUGAUUUGUCUUGUAGCUUACUCGCUUAUGUUAUUUUACCUACGCUUAGGAUGUUGAGUCGUAGAGCACGCAG